CCUUGUCACUUGCCCGUCCAGU
rnacentral:miRNA from 10 species